AGACUCACUGGAGCUCUUGGGCAGCCCAUCGCCCACGCUGACCGUGAGGGUCCGACCGCCAACCUUGAGCACUGCCAAGUCGCCGAAGCCGCGGGAGAAGGAGUUGAUGGAGACCUCCAAGAAGCUGGUUCAAGCUCCCUAAACCCAGAGCUGGAGGAAGACCCUGCUGAACAGAUGACGUCACAGUCAGAGGCAGAAGCCCCAGGAUUGGUAGACAGACAGACGUUGGAAUGAGAGAAACAGAGUCCGGACCCCAGAUGGAGUUUCACUCCUGUUGCCUAGGCUGGAGUGCAAUGGCACGAUCUUGGCUCAUCGCAACCUCCGCCUCCCGAGUUCAAGCGAUUCUCCUGCCUCAGCCUCCCGAGAAGCUGGGAUUACAGGUAUGUGCCACCACGCCGGACUAAUUUUGUAUUUUUAGUAGAGAUGGGGUUUCUCCAUGUUGGUCAGGCUGGUCUCGAACUCCCAACCUCAGGACAUCUGCCCACCUCGGCCUCCCAAAGUGCUGGGAUUACAGGCAUGAGCCACCGCACACAGCUUGCUUUUUUUUUUUGAGACCGGGUUUUGCUCUGUUACCCAGGCUGGAACUCAGCGAUGCGAUCCUAGCUCACUGCAACCUUGACCUCCAGGGUUCAAGUGAUCCUCUCAUCUCAGCCUUCCGAGUAGCUGGGACCGUAGGAGCACACCACCAUGCCUGGCUAAUUUUUAUGUUUUUUGUAGAGAUGAGGUCUCACUAUGUUGUCCAGGCUGGCUUUGAACCCCCAGGCUCAAGCGAUCCUCUUAACUUAGCCUCCUAGAUAGCUGGGACUAUAGGUGUGAGUGAUUGUGUCUGGCUCGGUCUGUCUCUCUCUUUUUUUCUUUUCUUUUUUGAGACAGGGUCUCAUUCUGCUGUUGCCCAGGCUGGAGUGCAAUGGCACAAUCUCGACUCACUACAAGCUCUGCCUCCUGGGUUCAAGCAAUUCUCCUGCCUCAGACUCCUGAGUAGCUGGGAUUACAGGUGCCCAGCACCACACCUGGCUAAGUUUUAUAUUUUUAGUAGAGAUGGGGUUUCACCAUGUUGGCCAGGCUGGUCUCAAACUCCUGACCUCAGGUGAUCCACCCACCUCAGCCUCCCAAAGUGCUGGGAUUACAGGCGUGAGCCACUGCACCCAGCCUCUCUCUCUCUCUUUGUUAAAAAAAUCCCUGUCUCAGGACUGGGCAUAUUAACUCAUGCCUGUAGUCCCAGCACUUUGGCAGGCCAAGGCAGGAGGAUUGCUUGAGGCCAGGAGUUCAAGACCAAUCUGGGCAACAAAGUGAAACACCAACUCUACAAAAAAGUUUUAAAAUAUUAGCCAGGCAUGAUGGUGUGUGCCUGCGGUCCCAGCUACUUGAGAGGCUGAAGUGGGAGGAUUGCUUGAGCCCAGGAGGUGUAGACUGCAGUGACCUGUGAUCACACCACUGCACUCCAGCCUGGACAACAGAGCGAGUUCCUGUCUCAAAAAAAAAAAAAAAAAAAAAAAAG